AUUUUAUUUUAUUGGUUUCCAAACAACUUAUACACUAAUACAAGAGCAGCAGUAAUAAUGUACAUCAAAUAUUGUUCUGUGUAUAAAUCUAUUCUAUGGAUACACAAAUUACUAUCUAGUGCGCAAGAUUAACUUAACGAAAAAAUUUUAUCUAAACAGAAAAAAAAAAAGAUUACAACAAAAACAUACAGAAACUAAAUUAUCAGAGAAAAGUGCGGCUUAGGUGCUACGCAGAGCAGCAAGGACUAAGCGACGAAAACUGUCAAGACUAUUGGAAAAUAUAAAUAUACCAAAU